UACAGAGGUGGCAAGCGUUGUUCGGAAUUACUGGGCGUAAAGGGCGCGUAGGCGGUUCGAUAAGUCCCGUGUGAAAUCCCUCGGCUCAACUGAGGAACUGCACGGGAAACUGACGGGCUUGAGUUCGGGAGAGGGAAGCGGAAUUCCGGGUGUAGCGGUGAAAUGCGUAGAUAUCUGGAGGAAUACCGGUGGCGAAGGCGGCAUCCUGGACCGACAUUGACGCUGAUGAGCGAAAGCUAGGGGAGCAAACGGG
rnacentral:rRNA from 1 species